CUUGAGCAUGUAAGAUGUCUCGAACAUACAGAUGCCUGUGUUGGGGGCAGGCAUGUAAUAGGUAGCACUAGGUUAUUUUAGUUGGGUUUUGACCUAGCAAAUUUGCCAACAUUUUUUUAAAAAGUGAUAAUAUUCCACAUUGGCAAGGUUGCAGUGAAACUGGUCUUUUUCUUUUUUCUUGAGACAGUCUUGCUCUGUCACCCAGGGUGGAGUGCAGUGGCCCAAUCUCAGUUCACUGCAACCUCCGCCUCCCAGGUUCAAACAAAUCUCGUGCCUCAGCAUCCCAAGUAGCUGAGAUUACAGGCACGUGCCACCACACCUGGCUAAUUUUUGUAUUUUUAGUAGAGAUGGGGUUUUGUCAUGUUGGCCAGGCUGGUCUCAAACUCCUGGCUUCAAGUGAUCCUCCCGCCUCGGCCUCCUAAAGUGCUAGGAUUACAGGUGUGAGCUACCACACCUAGCUGAAACUGAUCUUCUUGCGUGCCAUUUGAAGAAGCGCCAAGAACCAGAACCAGAACAGCCACCCAGACCAGAGCCCCAUGAAUUAGGUCCCCUCAAUGGGGACACAG
rnacentral:lncRNA from 1 species